rnacentral:rRNA from 1 species
UACCCGCGCCCCGAGUGGUGGUCGAUAUUAUUGAGCCUAAAACGUUCGUAGCCGGUCUCCUAAAUCCCUGGGUAAAUCGGGCAGCUUAACUGUCCGAAGUCCGGGGAGACUGGGAGACUUGGGACCGGGAGAGGUCAGAGGUACUUCUGGGGUAGGGGUAAAAUCCUGUAAUCCUGGAAGGACCACCGGUGGCGAAGGCGUCUGACUAGAACGGAUCCGACGGUGAGGGACGAGGCCCUGGGGCGCAAACGGG